UACGGAAGGCAGCAGUGGGGAAUAUUGCACAAUGGGCGCAAGCCUGAUGCAGCCAUGCCGCGUGUAUGAAGAAGGCCUUCGGGUUGUAAAGUACUUUCAGCGGGGAGGAAGGCGGUGAAGUUAAUAGCUUCACCGAUUGACGUUACCCGCAGAAGAAGCACCGGCUAACUCCGUGCCAGCAGCCGCGGUAAUACGGAGGGUGCAAGCGUUAAUCGGAAUUACUGGGCGUAAAGCGCACGCAGGCGGUCUGUCAAGUCGGAUGUGAAAUCCCCGGGCUUAACCUGGGAACUGCAUUCGAAACUGGCAGGCUAGAGUCUUGUAGAGGGGGUAGAAUUCCAGGUGUAGCGGUGAAAUGCGUAGAGAUCUGGAGGAAUACCGGUGGCGAAGGCGGCCCCUGGACAAAGACUGACGCUCAGGUGCGAAAGCGUGGGGAGCAAACGAGGAUUAGGAUACC
rnacentral:rRNA from 1 species